rnacentral:rRNA from 1 species
AGUGAACGCUGGCGGUAGGCCUAACACAUGCAAGUCGAACGGCAGCACAGUAAGAGCUUGCUCUUACGGGUGGCGAGUGGCGGACGGGUGAGGAAUACAUCGGAAUCUACUUUUUCGUGGGGGAUAACGUAGGGAAACUUACGCUAAUACCGCAUACGACCUACGGGUGAAAGCAGGGGAUCUUCGGACCUUGCGCGAUUGAAUGAGCCGAUGUCGGAUUAGCUAGUUGGCGGGGUAAAGGCCCACCAAGGCGACGAUCCGUAGCUGGUCUGAGAGGAUGAUCAGCCACACUGGAACUGAGACACGGUCCAGACUCCUACGGGAGGCAGCAGUGGGGAAUAUUGGACAAUGGGCGAAAGCCUGAUCCAGCCAUACCGCGUGGGUGAAGAAGGCCUUCGGGUUGUAAAGCCCUUUUGUUGGGAAAGAAAAGCAGCAGGUGAAUACCCCGCUGUCCUGACGGUACCCAAAGAAUAAGCACCGGCUAACUUCGUG